AUAAAUGUAGGUUCCUGGCACAGACUAGUGACUUUACCCAGUUUGGUUUAUUUCGUGCAGGUGGUAUGAGACCCUAAAUACUAAAACCAACAAACCAACACAGAAGAAAGGAGACAAGGUGGUGUCUGUGACAGUGAAGUUGGUGGCAGUUGGAAAAGAGGUACCCUCAGUCAUCAAGACUGUAUUGGCCACCAGGGUACCAGAUAACUGUCUUACCCAGCCAGACCAACUCAGCAGCAGCCGCAGCUCUUCGUCCCACUGCACCUCCUCCCUUUUCCAUGAGACCAAUGACAUCACCACAGCACGCACUGCUGUCCUGCAAUGUCUGCCCCUGUAUCUUGGAGAUAAUUCCAGCGAAUUCUUCCUCAGCUGCUCAGAUUCGGACUCUGCAUGUGACUUCAGCCAGGUGCCUAUUGGGGUUCUUAGAAUCAUGACUGAGGAUGCGCCACCCUUGAUUAACAGCAUUGCAAUCAUCCUUGAAGGAAACCUUGUCAUGGAUGAGAUUCCCACAACCUCUCAAGCACUUUGUCUUCUGUUCGGCGUGAUGUAUGCACCCCAUCUGGAUUACCCCAAAGAUCUAUUCCAGUAGGUCGAUGAAUCCGGUCAAGCAAUCUAGUUUCUUGCUUAAAUGCUAUUAAACUUAUACUGCUGCUGAGAGUGAAUAUCCUUCACUGCAGGCAGACUCUACUGCUCAUAGGUGGUGUGUCUCCCCCCCGCCCCGCCUGUCUGCUCACAGAGUCUGAUGGUCACUAUAACCCAUCGAUCCAGUCUAGGAUUCUUCUGCCUUUUUCAAAAAUGACCUGUGGUCUUUCUCAGAAAAACAAACAACAACAAAAAAAACCCCAGCGAGCAUUACCAUUCAUUCUUUAUUUUGUUCAGAACAAUAAAAAUAGUUUAACAAACAAA